rnacentral:rRNA from 1 species
UACGAAGGGGCUAGCGUUGUUCGGAAUCACUGGGCGUAAAGGGCGCGUAGGCGGCUUUAUAAGCGGGGGUGAAAGCCUGUGGCUCAACCACAGAAUUGCCUUCGAUACUGUAGAGCUUGAGACCGGAAGAGGUAAGUGGAACUGACGAGUGUAGAGGUGAAAUUCGUAGAUAUUCGCAAGAACACCAGUGGCGAAGGCGGACUUACUGGUCCGGUUCGUGACGCUGAGGCGCGAAAGCGUGGGGAGCAAACAGG